UCUUCUCGUUCUUUCUCUCCUUCUCUCUGUCUUCUCUUCUCUGUUCAUCCUGGUAGAAAUAAUUUUGAGAGAUAAAUUAGAGUUCUGAGAUCGAAAUAGGUUUGAUUAGAUCAAGACUGGCUGGUUGUGGUGGUGUUAAUUCAUGCAGUUGAUUCAUAUUACAAGAAAAGGAAAAUCAGGGAGAAUCAAUUAGGUUUUCUUAUGAUAUUGGAAAUUUUAUAGAAUUGAUGGAUGUUUAGAGUAGUAGAUUGAUGAAGAACAAAAGGGUAUUCGAUUGAUUGAUGUUGUGAAGCUGUUUAUGAAAGAAAUCGAAGAAGGAAGUGAAGUUAGGGUUUCGUAUAAAUAUCUCAACGAAGUUAUAGAAGAUGAAAUUGAACCUUAGAAAUGGGGAAUUGAAGAUGGGUUUUGUAUAUCGAGAACAAUAAAGAAGAAUUGGGUGUUCUAUUUCGGUUCACAAGGAAGGAUGAAGGAAUUAGGGUUCUGUAAUUCAUUGAAGAUAAGAUUAGAGUUGAUUAAGAUAAUUGCAUAAUUAGGGUUUGUGUUGGAUAUUGAUUGAUUGGAUGAAGUUAGGGUUUCUGGAUGAAAUAGAAGAUGGAAUCGAUAUCUUAGGGAGAAGAUUAGAAAUGGGUUUUGUGUUCUGAGAACUAGUGUUGCAGAUGAAGGCUAGGGAUUGAUUGUGUUAAUAAGAAGAUGAUGGAAUUAAUUUCAGUGCCGAUCUGUUUGAUGCUUGGGCGAAGCUGGUUUGAGGUAAUUGUUUUAUGAGUAUUAAUCUGUUCAAGUUCGUUAUUGAGUUUAUAAAUUUCUUAAUGAAUUAAGAAUUUAUAUGGAAUUGUUGGUGGUCGUGGAUAUGAGUUGUAUGAGAUGUAUAUCUAUUUGAAAAGAAAGUUGAUUAAGAAGAUUAUGAUGUUUGAUGAAGGGGACUGUAAUUGAAGUAAGAUUCCGUGGUUGUUGAUAAUUCUAUGGUGAAUUGAUGAAAUUGUGUUGAGUGACAGUGAAGGAGGUAAUGAGAAUUGAUAGUGGUCAUACAUGCUGGGAAGAACUGGGGGUUGUUUUAUUGCAGCUGGUGAUGGUGGCUAUAGAUGAAUGCUUAGGGAUUUGCAGAAUUUGUUUAGCUCAAAUGGUUGCAGUAAAUGAGCCUAGUGAUAAUGUAUCUAAAGAACUAGAAUUGCAGGUGGUGUGCAGUGGCAGAUGAGAUGGAGGUGGAGUUGGAUAAGAGAGUCUCAAGUAAAUGGGUUGUUGGUGGACUGGAGUUGUGUAAUUGAAACUGUAAGUUAUUAUGCAGGUGGUAGUAAUUAGAGAAGAUGUGGUUGAUAUAGUGAUGGUGCUGAUGUGUUUUGUUUGAUUGUGCAAUCCAGAGAAGAGCUCAUAGUGGUUCUAGGAUUGAUUGUGUUGAGUUAAGAUUGAACAGAAUGGUAAUGGUGGUAAGUUAGUGUAGUACUGUUGGGAUGGAUUGUGUAUGAAUGAAUUGUUGGUAUUCAUUGUAAAGAGCAGGAACUGGAUAUGGUGUUGUCUGUGAUAAAUGAUUAACUGCAAGUGGCCAGAAGUAGAUUUGCAGUUGUAGAUAAAUGUAAUGAGUUGCAAGUAGUGGUGGUAUUGAAUUUUAGUUGUAGUUGAUCCGAAACUGGUGGUGAUUCAGUUUAGUGGAAUGUGUUGCUAAAAGCUGCAAUUGCAGUUAGUCUAUAGUAACAACGAUCGAUUCAAAGGAUGAGCCGGUGGAUCGUGGAUAUCGAGGUAGGCGUGGCUUGUCAUCAAAAGAGUUUGCGAGUUCGGAAUUGUCGAUAUCAAUACUUACGAUUAGCUGUGGAUUUGCGAGUUCGGAAUUGCACAACCAUAUUAUACAUUGUUUGAAGAACGAGUUUGUCCAUAUACAUGUUUGUUUACUUCUGUGAGGAUAUGUUCUUUCAAAUUUAUAUCUACAUGAAUUC